rnacentral:rRNA from 3 species
GACGAACGCUGGCGGCGUGCCUAAUACAUGCAAGUCGAACGAACUCUGGUAUUGAUUGGUGCUUGCAUCAUGAUUUACAUUUGAGUGAGUGGCGAACUGGUGAGUAACACGUGGGAAACCUGCCCAGAAGCGGGGGAUAACACCUGGAAACAGAUGCUAAUACCGCAUAACAACUUGGACCGCAUGGUCCGAGCUUGAAAGAUGGCUUCGGCUAUCACUUUUGGAUGGUCCCGCGGCGUAUUAGCUAGAUGGUGGGGUAACGGCUCACCAUGGCAAUGAUACGUAGCCGACCUGAGAGGGUAAUCGGCCACAUUGGGACUGAGACACGGCCCAAACUCCUACGGGAGGCAGCAGUAGGGAAUCUUCCACAAUGGACGAAAGUCUGAUGGAGCAACGCCGCGUGAGUGAAGAAGGGUUUCGGCUCGUAAAACUCUGUUGUUAAAGAAGAACAUAUCUGAGAGUAACUGUUCAGGUAUUGACGGUAUUUAACCAGAAAGCCACGGCUAACUACGUGCCAGCAGCCGCGGUAAUACGUAGGUGGCAAGCGUUGUCCGGAUUUAUUGGGCGUAAAGCGAGCGCAGGCGGUUUUUUAAGUCUGAUGUGAAAGCGUUCGGCUCAACCGAAGAAGUGCAUCGGAAACUGGGAAACUUGAGUGCAGAAGAGGACAGUGGAACUCCAUGUGUAGCGGUGAAAUGCGUAGAUAUAUGGAAGAACACCAGUGGCGAAGGCGGCUGUCUGGUCUGUAACUGACGCUGAGGCUCGAAAGUAUGGGUAGCAAACAGGAUUAGAUACCCUGGUAGUCCAUACCGUAAACGAUGAAUGCUAAGUGUUGGAGGGUUUCCGCCCUUCAGUGCUGCAGCUAACGCAUUAAGCAUUCCGCCUGGGGAGUACGGCCGCAAGGCUGAAACUCAAAGGAAUUGACGGGGGCCCGCACAAGCGGUGGAGCAUGUGGUUUAAUUCGAAGCUACGCGAAGAACCUUACCAGGUCUUGACAUACUAUGCAAAUCUAAGAGAUUAGACGUUCCCUUCGGGGACAUGGAUACAGGUGGUGCAUGGUUGUCGUCAGCUCGUGUCGUGAGAUGUUGGGUUAAGUCCCGCAACGAGCGCAACCCUUAUUAUCAGUUGCCAGCAUUAAGUUGGGCACUCUGGUGAGACUGCCGGUGACAAACCGGAGGAAGGUGGGGAUGACGUCAAAUCAUCAUGCCCCUUAUGACCUGGGCUACACACGUGCUACAAUGGAUGGUACAACGAGUUGCGAACUCGCGAGAGUAAGCUAAUCUCUUAAAGCCAUUCUCAGUUCGGAUUGUAGGCUGCAACUCGCCUACAUGAAGUCGGAAUCGCUAGUAAUCGCGGAUCAGCAUGCCGCGGUGAAUACGUUCCCGGGCCUUGUACACACCGCCCGUCACACCAUGAGAGUUUGUAACACCCAAAGUCGGUGGGGUAACCUUUUAGGAACCAGCCGCCUAAGGUGGGACAGAUGAUUAGGGUG